CCAAACCAACCAAUGUGGGAUCUCACAAUUAAUCUCUUUUGUUGUGCCAUUAAGUACGGUCAUUUAACAUUUCAGAACAAAACAUUUGUCAUGUUAAGACAGCUUUGCUCUUUAUAUUGUUCCUCUGCAAGUAUGUCUUGCCAGCUUUUUGAUUAUUUACUGUGUGUAGGUCCUGCAUACCAAGAGGUAUGCGUUUGCACCUCCAAAGGGAUCUGCAGCAGCAGAAACAAAUCCCAGUGAGUACCUCUUUGCAGCUUUAGAGGACAGCAAUUCAGGGUCUCUUUUGCAAUAUCUUGCAUUUCUUGAUCUCUGCAUGGUUUGUGAGAACAAUGUGGAUAUAUGGAGGAGAGCUGCAUUUUUUGAAGAAACAGGUGAGACAUAUAAGCGAAUUAUAUCCAUUUCCUUGAAGCCUUUGGAGCAAUUUGCACUGAACUUAGGCCAAGGUUUGGAAGGUGCUGUGGACAUUACCUCCCAACUAUCGCCAAAGGACUCUCACUUCAACGUAAAACAAUUCGAAACUCUUAAAAACUUUCAGUUGUAUGCAUGGUGUGCUCGAACAGUUUCUAUGUUGACUGCACGCUCACAUGCAGAAGAUCGAUUCGGUGUUGCUCAACUCUCUGGUAGUAAUGCAACUGUUAUGUCAACACUGUUGUCUUGCCUGCUUGCUGUUGAAGUGUUGAUGGGUAAGAAAACGACUAUACAGUCUUCACACGGUUUAUUCGGCCCGGCUAGUAUUAAAUGGGCAACGUCAAGUAUUGGAAGAGUAGAUGCUUCGGUUGGUAAAAGGAAAAGUGGUCCGCUGCAUUCGAAGGCAUAUGCUAUUGCGAACGUAUUGAGGGUGUCGAUCUAUGUCGUCGUUUCUGCAUUCCAUAACGAGAUGGUGAAUAGUGCCAAGUCCGGUGUUCUUGAGAAAGAUUGGAUCACUAGUGAAAAGCCCCUUUAUGGUACUCGUGAGUUGCUUCUUCAGAAAUUGCAUAUUUUCUUGGACUUUCAAGCUUAGAUAGAACGGCGAUUUCGAUUUCGAUUUCAUUUUCCCCGUCUCCGCCCCGUCGAAUUAUAGCGAAUCACUUGUGAGGCAGUUUUGUUGUCUUUGAUUCUGAAGAGUUAACUGAGCUGCCUGUAAACUUCUAAGAAGAAAGUGUCUUCCAGAUUGCAUUUUUGCGCCACAUUUUCCAGCAGACCAGCUUCAGAAAUUCCAAGUUG